ensembl:lncRNA
UCCAGUAGGUGUUCAUGGGGUUGAGGUCAGGGAUCUGUGCAUGCCACUGGAGUUCCUCCACACCAAACUCAUUAACAUUAUCCUUCACUGGAUCUGAGGGGCCCAAACCCUGAAAAACAGCCCUGACCUACCAUCGUCCCACCUCCACCACACUGUGUUAGCACACUGUAUUCCAGUAGGAAGCGUUCUCCAGGCGUCCACCCAACCCAUACUCGUUCUCCAGGCGUCCGCCAAACCCGUACUUGUUCUCCAGGCGUCCGCCAAACCCGUACUCGAUCAUACUGCCAGAUCGUGAAGUCUGAUUUCAUCACUCCAGAGAACACAUUUCCACUGCUCCAGAGUCGGUGCUUUAAACCACUCCAUCCAACGCUUAGCAUUACACACGGAGAGUGAUCUUAGGCUUGUGUGCAGCUGCUUGAUGAUGGAACCUGUUUCAUGUAGUUCUUGAUGCACGGUUCUUGUGCUGAUGUUGCUUCAAGAGGCAGUUUGGAGCUCUGUAGUGAGCGAUGCAACAGAGGACGGUGAUAUUUACGCUCUGUGCGCUUCAGCACUCGGCAGCCCCGCUCUGUGAGGUCAGAUGAGCUCUUGUUGCUCCUCGACGUUUCCGUUUCACAGUAAGAGCAAUUAGAGUCGACCGAGGCAGAUCUAACGGCAGAAAUUUCACCAGGGCCACGUCACCUUUUAAAGUCGCAGCCGUUCUACUGCCAGUGUGUGUCUGUGAAGACUGCUGGAUUUUUUUUUCACCAAGUUAGCAAUGGGUAUGGCUGAAACACCUGAACUGUCCAUUAGGAGGGGUGCAACAUACUUUUGGUCAUAGUGUAUAUAGGAGUGUUUUUAAUAGUAUAAAACACAUGGAUGACUGUUCCAUUAGUUAUACAUGUAAAAGUUCACACUGCACACUAUAUACUGUACACUAUACACUGCACACUAUAUAUUAUUACACACUGCACACUAUAUAUUACACACUAUAUAUUACACACUGCACACUAUAUACUACACACUGCACACUAUAUAUUACACACUGCACACUAUAUACUACACACU